UACGAGGGGGGCAAGCGUUGUUCGGAAUUAUUGGGCGUAAAGCGCGCGCAGGCGGUGCGGUAAGUCUAUGGUGAAAGCGCUCGGCUUAACUGGGCGAGGGCCGUGGAGACUGCCGGACUGGAGGGGAGCAGAGGCGAGUGGAAUUCCCGGUGUAGCGGUGAAAUGCGUAGAGAUCGGGAGGAACAUCAGUGGCGAAGGCGGCCAUCUGGGACAACACUGACGCUGAAGCACGAAAGCGUGGGGAGCAAACAGGG
rnacentral:rRNA from 1 species